CUUUCGGGCUGAGUAGAGCGGCGGACGGGUGAGUAACGCGUAGGAAUCUACCUGGUAGUGGGGGACAACUUGGGGAAACUCAAGCUAAUACCGCAUACGCCCUAAGGGGGAAAGCGGGGGACCUUCGGGCCUCGCGCUAUCGGAUGAGCCUGCGUAGGAUUAGCUAGUUGGUGGGGUAAAGGCCCACCAAGGCGACGAUCCUUAGCUGGUCUGAGAGGAUGAUCAGCCACACUGGAACUGAGACACGGUCCAGACUCCUACGGGAGGCAGCAGUGGGGAAUAUUGCGCAAUGGGCGAAAGCCUGACGCAGCCAUGCCGCGUGUGUGAAGAAGGCCUUAGGGUUGUAAAGCACUUUCAAUUGGGAAGAAAAGUUUGUCGUUAAUAGCGCCAAGCUCUGACAUUACCUUUAGAAGAAGCACCGGCUAACUCCGUGCCAGCAGCCGCGGUAAUACGGAGGGUGCGAGCGUUAAUCGGAAUUACUGGGCGUAAAGCGCGCGUAGGCGGUUUGUUAAGUCAGCUGUGAAAGCCCCGGGCUCAACCUG
rnacentral:rRNA from 1 species